UACGUAGGGUGCAAGCGUUAAUCGGAAUUACUGGGCGUAAAGCGUGCGCAGGCGGCUUUGCAAGACAGAUGUGAAAUCCCCGGGCUUUAACCUGGGAACUGCAUUUGUGACUGCAUGGCUGGAGUGCGGCAGAGGGGGAUGGAAUUCCGCGUGUAGCAGUGAAAUGCGUAGAUAUGCGGGAGGAACACCGAUGGCGAAGGCAGCCCCCCUGGGGCCAAUACUGACGCUCAUGCACAAAAGCCGUGGGG
rnacentral:rRNA from 1 species